rnacentral:tRNA from 2 species
GGAGAGGUUCCCGAGCGGUCAAAGGGGGCAGACUGUAAAUCUGUUGGCUCAGCCUUCGAAGGUCCGAAUCCUUCUCUCUCCA